CACCUUCCUGCCUCAGCCUCCCAAGUAGCUGGGAUUACAGGGCCCUCGCGGAGGGGUGGCAGCCCCAGGUGUGAUAGCCAUGCUGUGUAAAAAGGACCCCGAGAGACCCGCCUGCGGGGGCGAGCAGCUCACCGGAGGGAACUGUACAAGCCGUACUUAGAUGUCAGGACAAGAGGCAGGAUUCUGGGACAGCCGGGGAUUCAGGGCUCCCGCGUGAGCCACACAGCUCUUCUGGUGCAAGUGGAGAAUCCGAGAGACUCCAGUUUUAAUUAGUGACGAAUUGAUUAACAUCGAUCUCCCCGCGGAUGGUAAGCAUGGGGACACAACCACGCUGCCUUCAAGGGUGUCUUCCAGCGGAGGGCCCCUGGCACGCGAAGGGCACACACAGGCACAAGUCACUGCUGUGGGCACUGUCGCAUAGAGGAACUGGUCAGCAGGGCAAAUGGGUAGAAUAAGGGAAGGAUCCACUCCGAGCCAGCAGCCUUGGCAGAGGGAAAGGGCAGCGCGAGUGGCUUCCUGGCAGCUGAGCUCUGGUCAGCUGUGGGCCUCACUCACUGCUGCCUGGAGGGGCCAUGCGGGUCACGCAGCCUGCCCCAGGUCAUGCGUGAUCGUGGGAGUGUCCCCCGGCCACAGAGCUAGAAGCCAGCCACACGCAUGAAGCACAGCCCAUCCGCGCAGGGCAGGGAGCGACCGGCAAUCUCAGUGCCAUCCUAGCGCUGUCCCAGAACCUGGGGAGCCCACCUGCAAGUCCCUGCACCCAGCGGCCCUGCAGCAUUGCCCUGGCCGCCUGGUCUGCGUCUGUAACGCGCACCUGUGUGCCUGGCACUUGGGGUCCUGGAGCCCUGUCGGCCCGAGACAGAUGCCCAGGCAACCCCCACCCCCGGGUCUAGGGGUGAGGACCCCGAUGGCAUCAGAGAGGACUUUCAGUCCUGGCAGUGUCCCACUGUCCUGAACAUCAAACGCGCUAAGUAAGGCAAAGAGGAAGCUGAGGAGAGGCCGGGGGAGCCAUGCACCUCAGACUAGAGCCAAGCACAGCCUGGGCUCCUGGGAGACCCGCGCUGAGCACCUGCGUUCGGCCAGGGGCGGGCGGGCCGCGGAGACUGCCGGAGGGAGGGGUAGUAGGAAGGAGCGUGCUUCCAAGCUCAGGAAUUCAGGCUUCACCUGAGGGUGCUGGCAUGGGUGUGCGGUGAGGCCGCCAGCACAGCCCCACCCUCCUGGCUGCGGCUUUGCUAGAGCACACCGACAGCGCCGGCUGCCCGUCCCAAAGUAACAGGUAUUUCCUCGGAGCGUCCCGGCGCUCGGGGUUCCAGCCCCGUAAGCAGCUUGGCAGGUGGCUGGAGAGUGAGCCGACCAAUCAGAUGCCCACACCCGGGGUGAGGAACCGGACGUGCUGGUGGGGCCUGGACAGCGGAGACCAGGUGAGGACCCGAGAGGUGGGCCCAUUGCGAGCAGCUGAGAGAAGGGGAGCCCAAGCAGCCGCCCUCUGCCUGGCGGGUGCCGUUCCGUGCAUGUGCGCCUUCCUCACGGUGCGUUCCCGGAACUACCAUUUUCCCUGAAUCAGAGUGACUUCACAGCCAACUGCUCCCUCCCUUUCAUUUAUUAAAGCGUAAUUUGUUCCGAAGGGCACACGGUUGUGUGACACAGAGCCCUGUUGACCCCGAAAGCCGCUUCUCCUGCUGGGGGUCAGCCGCCCCCAGGCAAGCGCUCAAUGUGCAGCCUAGGCUGGCCUUGAACUUGCAGCAGUCUUUCUGCCUCAGCCUCCGGAGUGCUGGGAUUACAGGGGUGCACCACCACGCCCAGCUGGUUUCUGUUUAAGGCAGAUGAGAAUCUCAAUGUCUGGGUGGACACCAGUUUGUGCAUUCACUCACCAACAUGUAGAAAUCCGGGCUGGUCUCAGUUGUAAGCAGUGAUGAAUAAAACCGCUAGAAAUACCGGUGUAAA